CAUUGGUUUGUUUGUUUUCAUUUUGUUUGUACUACCUUGCCAAAAGCAGACUGAGAUAGUUUGGUUUGUGUUUAGAUGGGAGUGUAUGCAGAAGCCACUGUUCAGAUAGGUGUAUGUGUCUGUCACACUGUGACUUCAGAAGCCACCUCUUGUUCUCCGUUGAUGUUAUUUCUAAGGGCAUUCCUGGUCUAGGAAGGUUUCUCUGUGCUUGUGACUGUGGUGUCAUAUCCAAGUGUGCCCUUAGUCAUGGAUACGGUCUCUUGAAGCAUACCACUGUCCUAGGAAGAAUAUGGCAUUUGGAUGAAAUCAUUUGUCUGAAUUGAAUGGGUUAUUUUGUGAAACAGUACUGACCUUUCAGAAAAGGGGCAACUACUUUUAUAUGCUAAAGUACUUCAUAACUUUCUGGGAAACUUUAUUUAGGUAGAAAUGGCCAUCUUAUUAUUUUUCAAAUAAAUGUAUUUUAAUAAUUUCACAAUUUA
rnacentral:lncRNA from 1 species